AUUGAACGCUAGCGGGAUGCUUUACACAUGCAAGUCGAACGGCAGCGCGGACUUCGGUCUGGCGGCGAGUGGCGAACGGGUGAGUAAUGUAUCGGAACGUGCCCAGUAGCGGGGGAUAACUACGCGAAAGCGUAGCUAAUACCGCAUACGCCCUACGGGGGAAAGCAGGGGAUCGUAAGACCUUGCACUAUUGGAGCGGCCGAUAUCGGAUUAGCUAGUUUGUGAGGUAACGGCUCACCAAGGCGACGAUCCGUAGCUGGUUUGAGAGGACGACCAGCCACACUGGGACUGAGACACGGCCCAGACUCCUGCGGGAGGCAGCAGUGGGGAAUUUUGGACAAUGGGGGCAACCCUGAUCCAGCCAUCCCGCGUGUGAGAUGAAGGCCUUCGGGUUGUAAAGCACUUUUGGCAGGAAAGAAACGUCGCGGGCUAAUACCCCGUGGAACUGACGGUACCUGCAGAAUAAGCACCGGCUAACUACGUG
rnacentral:rRNA from 1 species